UAGUUUCCCUUUCGAUAACGGUAUUAUCAUAUAGACGGUGAUACACUUUACGGCUGUAAUCCGCAAUGCGCUUUUGCACCAUAGCAGCUUGUUCUGAGGGAGAAAGCUCUUGAAAUGACCUAAAAGGUGAGAAAGGGGUAGGGCCUGGAAAACGCUCAGAUUGUAAAGCAGAAUAUAUCAUAUGAUAUUCACCUUUUUUAGCAGGGUAAUACUCCCCUCUCCAUGCCCAUACCAUCCGACGAUCACAUGUCUUAUUGGGCACAUUAAGAUCGCAUGUUGCACAAAACGAUUCAUCUUUUACUGAAUCUGGCUGUAACCGGUUGGUAAUCAUAAUAUUUGGGUACAUUGAGGCGACAUCAAGAUGGUAAAUCCUUGGCUUCUCCGACCUUUUUGGUCGAUCACGAAGGUCACUUAGUUUCUUUAAUAUGCUGUCUCUAACCUCUUCAUAAUUUUCGAUUUCAUCAACAUUGACGUUGUUUUCAACUGUUAAAGAAAAAUCUAAGGCUUUGUCCAACUGUAAAAUUAGUUCUUCAUAAACUUUUGGAUCCAUGUUGAAAUUAGUCGGCAAGUCGCUUCUAAAAACACCACUUUCAAGACUUUCAACAUGUCCUCCAACAUAAGUCUCACUUGCAAGUAAAUGACCGUCGAAAAAUUUUUGACUAGCAUCAACAUGUUUAUUCGGAAGAAUAAUAUUUUUUGUACAAGCCUCAACAGUUAAAAGCGUUUCACACAACGUACCCGUGCCUUUACGUAAAACUUCAUCAGGAUUUAAUGGGAUAAUGUUACAAAGAGAAAAAAUGAAAGGAUGCACAUAUUUCAUGUAAAGAAAAUAAGUAGCAACAGCAUCUGAAACUGAAUAUUGAGCAAGAACUUGAGGUUUUUCACUUGCAUAAGGAGUCAUCAAUUCUGGAUCUAGUUCGAUAGGAUUAUAACCUAAUUUACUGACAGUGACAGCUUUGAGACCUUGACUUCCUUGAGGUAAAUAACUAUCUCUCUUUACCCACCGGAAGGCAUCCAUAUGACUACAAUAAGAAGACUUAUAUUCAUCCUCUGCGUCCCUGAAGAAACCAGUUUCUUCUGUUAAAUUCAAUCCGUGAAAUGCAGCACGUGCGUCUACAAAUGGCCAGUCAAAGAAGUCACCAUUGUAUGUAACUAUUACUGAAGGCUUUGCAGACCUUAUAUGUUUAAAG